GACGAACGCUGGCGGCGUGCCUAACACAUGCAAGUCGAGCGGGGAUAGGGCUUCGGUCCUAUUCUAGCGGCGGACGGGUGAGUAACGCGUGAACAAUCUGUCCUGUACAGGGGGAUAACACUUGGAAACAGGUGCUAAUACCGCAUAAGCCCACAGCCCGGCAUCGGGCAGGGGGAAAAGGGGCAACUCGGUAUAGGGUGAGUUCGCGUCCCAUUAGCUGGUUGGCGGGGUAAAGGCCCACCAAGGCAACGAUGGGUAGCCGACCUGAGAGGGUGAUCGGCCACACUGGAACUGAGAAACGGUCCAGACUCCUACGGGAGGCAGCAGUGGGGAAUAUUGGGCAAUGGGGGAAACCCUGACCCAGCAACGCCGCGUGAGGGAAGAAGGCUUUCGGGUCGUAAACCUCUGUCCCAUGGGAAGAGCAGAAGACGGUACCAUGGGAGGAAGCCCCGGCUAACUACGUGCCAGCAGCGCGUAAACUAGUCUACG
rnacentral:rRNA from 1 species